UUCCACAGCUACUGGCCUGAAACUGCUUAGUGCUGUAGCAGUUGCAGUAUUCCGACUGUGGGAAAUCAGCAGUUACACAGUGCACAAAUGCGCCUUUCGUUUUGUCACCCAAGUGAAAGGGAUUGCAGUGUAACAGACAAGA